rnacentral:rRNA from 1 species
GUAGGGAAUAUUGCGCAAUGGACGAAAGUCUGACGCAGCGACGCCGCGUGAGUGAUGAAGGCCUUAGGGUCGUAAAGCUCUGUUGAAUGGGAAGAAAAAAAUGACGGUACCAUUCGAGGAAGGACCGGCUAACUUCGUGCCAGCAGCCGCGGUAAUACGAGGGGUCCUAGCGUUGUUCGGAAUCAUUGGGCGUAAAGGGUGUGUAGGUGGCCAUGUAAGUCAGGUGUGAAAGCCCCGGGCUCGACCCGGGAAGUGCACUUGAUACUGCGUGGCUUGAGUACCGAAGAGGGUAGUGGAAUUCCAGGUGUAGUGGUGAAAUACGUAGAUAUCUGGAGGAACACCGGUGGCGAAGGCGGCUACCUGGUCGAGUACUGACACUGAGACACGAAAGCAUGGGGAUCAAACAGGAUUAGAUACCCCGGUAGUCC